CCUCUUCAGCCUCUAUUCAAGAGAUGCCUUAGCCCUCUCAUUUUCUACUAAGGCUUCCCUCAUAGAGGCAAGGGUGUGCACCAUCUAUUCAAAAAGCACAGGUCACACAAAGAGAUAGGCAAAGGAAAGGAAAAGGGAAAAGUAAGAGACGAAAAGGAGAAAGGACUCACCCUGAUGAUCCUAAUUGUGCUGGAAUCUAGGGCAUCCUCCAUGGUAUAUGUCCUCCUGGUUCUCGAUCUGUUGGAAG
rnacentral:lncRNA from 1 species